rnacentral:tRNA from 1 species
AGGCCAGUAGCUCGAAUUGGUAGAGCGGCGGACUCCAAAUCCGUAGGCUGGGGGUUCGAGUCCCUCCUGGCCUGCCA